rnacentral:rRNA from 1 species
UACGGAGGGCGCGAACGUUAUUCGGAAUCACUGGGCGUAAAGCGCGCGUAGGCGGUCUGUUAAGUGGGAUGUGAAAUCCCCGGGCUUAACCUGGGAAUUGCAUUUCGAACUGGCCGACUAGAGUACGGUAGAGGGAGGUAGAAUUUCCUGUGUAGCGGUGAAAUGCGUAGAUAUAGGAAGGAAGACCAGUGGCGAAGGCGGCCUCCUGGAUCGAUACUGACGCUGAGGCGCGAAGGCGUGGGGAGCAAACGGG